rnacentral:rRNA from 1 species
UACGUAGGGGCCUAGCGUUGUCCGGAUUUAUUGGGCGUAAAGAGCUCGUAGGCGGUUUGGUAAGUCGGGUGUGAAAUCUCCACGCUCAACGUGGAGGGGCCACUCGAUACUGCCAUGACUAGAGUCCGGUAGGGGAGUGUGGAAUUCCCGGUGUAGCGGUGAAAUGCGCAGAGAUCGGGAGGAACACCCGUAGCGAAGGCGGCACUCUGGGCCGGUACUGACGCUGAGGAGCGAAAGCGUGGGGAGCGAACAGG